rnacentral:tRNA from 1 species
GGACAUCCGGCACGCGUUCGCCGCGCUGAGCCGCUUCGGUCUGCUCGAUGUCGUGCAAAUCGACGGUGGCCC